UAGUCAAACAAAGCCCUACAGACAUCGAUCUCUGAUCUGAGAAAAAAAAUCCUUAUAUGGCGAGAAUUACAAUGGAAGCAAGCAAGGCGGUCCUGCUCUUGAUGGUGAUCCUAGGAAGUUUGAUGAUUCCUGCAUACUCUCGGAACGUUGUUCGUUUCUGCAAAUGCGAGAAACAGGCCUGCAAAAAGGGAGCAAUAUCCGAAGGUGUUUGCUACUGCUGUCCAGGCGGCAGUUGUUAUUCGACGAUCCAGGAUUGUGCACCAUCUUGCAAGUGCAGCAAGCUUUCACAUGCCCCCCAUUUCGAAUAGCAUGCAGAUCCUGCCCUAGUCAUCAAGUCAAUACUAAAUGUAAGAGACAGUGAAUCAAUCCUGUGAUUUAUUGCAGAGACAAAUUAAAAAAAAGUGGUGGCGGUUGUUGAUGUUUGAUAU
rnacentral:lncRNA from 7 species